CUCUGCUGAAGGAACUAGGCAAAAUGGUACCGUAACUUCGGGAGAAGGUACGCUGUUGUUGGUGAUGGAACUCGCUUCCUGAGCUGACGACAGCCGCAGAAACCAGGCCGCUGCAACUGUUUAUUAAAAACAUAGCACUCUGCAAACACGAAAGUGGACGUAUAGGGUGUGAUGCCUGCCCGGUGCUGGAAGGUUAAUUGAUGGGGUUAGCGUAAGCGAAGCUCUUGAUCGAAGCCCCAGUAAACGGCGGCCGUAACUAUAACGGUCCUAAGGUAGCGAAAUUCCUUGUCGGGUAAGUUCCGACCUGCACGAAUGGCAUAAUGAUGGCGGCGCUGUCUCCAGCAGAGGCUCAGUGAAAUCGAAAUCGCUGUGAAGAUGCAGUGUACCCGCGGCUAGACGGAAAGACCCCGUGAACCUUUACUGCAGCUUGACACUGAACUUUGACCUUACUUGUGUAGGAUAGGUGGGAGGCUUUGAAGCUGGAACGCUAGUUCCAGUGGAGCCGUCCUUGAAAUACCACCCUGGUAAUGUUGAGGUUCUAACUCUGUCCCGUGAUCCGGGACGAGGACCGUGUCUGGUGGGUAGUUUGACUGGGGCGGUCUCCUCCUAAAGAGUAACGGAGGAGUACGAAGGUGCGCUCAGCGUGGUCGGAAAUCACGCGUAGAGUAUAAAGGCAAAAGCGCGCUUAACUGCGAGACCCACAAGUCGAGCAGGUACGAAAGUAGGUCUUAGUGAUCCGGUGGUUCUGUAUGGAAGGGCCAUCGCUCAACGGAUAAAAGGUACUCUGGGGAUAACAGGCUGAUACCGCCCAAGAGUUCAUAUCGACGGCGGUGUUUGGCACCUCGAUGUCGGCUCAUCUCAUCCUGGGGCUGAAGCAGGUCCCAAGGGUAUGGCUGUUCGCCAUUUAAAGAGGUACGCGAGCUGGGUUUAGAACGUCGUGAGACAGUUCGGUCCCUAUCUACCGUGGGCGCUGGAAAUUUGAGAGGAUCUGCUCCUAGUACGAGAGGACCAGAGUGGACGAACCUCUGGUGUACCGGUUGUGACGCCAGUCGCAUCGCCGGGUAGCUAUGUUCGGAAGGGAUAACCGCUGAAAGCAUCUAAGCGGGAAGCCUACCUCAAGAUAAGAUUUCCCUAGGACUUUAUGUCCUCUAAAGAGCCGUUCGAGACUAGGACGUUGAUAGGUUGGAUGUGGAAGCAUAGUGAUAUGUGAAGCUGACCAAUACUAAUUGCUCGUGAGGCUUGACUA
rnacentral:rRNA from 1 species